UUUUAUUCCUAGUCUAUGUGGUCUUGCAGAAAAAUGAAUCGCUUAACUCUUUGUGAGCAGGACUCCUCCAUCCUUGUAGUGGGGAAGGGCACAGCCUCUCUACUGUCUGCACCAAGGAGUUCCUGUGCCAGUGAGGAGGAGCCCUCUACUAGAGUGAUGGAGGUCUUAGUCGUACAUGGAAGCUGAUGGAGUUACUGUGGAAGCCAUGUUCUGAGUCUCAGUGGAGAAAGGGCUGUCUCUGAAGCUGGUAAAGGAGAUUCCAUGAGCUUCUGGCAGCUGCUCUUCUGCUUUGCGAGACUACAGCUGUGAGGAUCCAGAGAUGAAGAAAGGAGAGCAUGCAGGGAACAAAGUAGGGUGGGGGCUGCCUGUUAGGAUUUCAAGGAAUUGCCAUGAAGAAGAAAACUAGGAAGGAUCUCAGGCUGGCAAGCACAGCUAAACCAUCAGUGUGGAAAGUUAAACAAGAAUGGUCCAGGGAAAGGGGACCUGACCCCUGUGGAGGAGACCUGUAUGGAGGCUAGGGAAUGAUGGGGGAAACCCCAAAAGUGCCAUUACCUAGGAAGGUGGCAAGGAGCAGGGUUUCUUACCUGACUUACCUGACUUAACUGUAUACUCAGUUUGUCUCAUGACCAGAGCAUGUUUAGGUAUUUUGGAGUGAUUUGUGAGCCCCAACUUCAAAUUCCUAUGUUAAGCCUUCCUUCUGCCACUAUUUGGAGACAGGGUCUUAACACAACAAUUAAACUUAAAUAAGGAUCUUUAAGGUAGUCCACAACCUAAUGUUUCUGGUGUUUUCAGGAGUAGAGGCUGGGACGCAGACAUACAGAAGGGAAAUGCCACAACGAAGACAGAGAUUGCCUGGCACCCAUAAGCCACAGAGAGGAGACUCAGAAACAAACCCUGACACCUUCGUUUCAGUCUUCCAGUCCCCAGAGCUCUGAGGAGAACCUUGGCCAUUGUGUAAGCCACUAAAUCCACAAUACUCUGUGAUGGCAGCCCAAACCAGCUCGAAUAGUUGACAAUUUGGGGCA
rnacentral:lncRNA from 1 species